UGUCUUUUAGAAAUUUAAUUUAAAGUCUAGCCUGCCCACUGAAUUUUUUUUAAAUGGCCGCAGUAUCCUAACUGUGCAAAGGUAGCAUAAUCAUUAGUCUUUUAAUUGAAGGCUGGAAUGAAUGGUUGGAUGAAAUAUUAACUGUUUCAUAAAAAUUUAUAAUAGAAUUUUAUUUUUUAGUCAAAAAGCUAAAAUAUUUUUAAAAGACGAGAAGACCCUAUAAAUCUUUAUAUUUAGAAAAUUACAAUUAUUUAGAUAACUUUAAUUUUACUUUUUUUAAAUAUUUUAUUGGGGUGAUAUUAAAAUUUAAUAAACUUUUAAUUUAUUUUAAACAUAAAUUAAUGAAUUAUUGAUCCAUAAAUUAUGAUUAAAAAAUUAAGUUACUUUAGGGAUAACAGCGUAAUUUUUUUAGAGAGUUCAUAUUGAUAAAAAAGAUUGCGACCUCGAUGUUGGAUUAAGAUACAGUUUUAGGUGCAGCAGCUUAAACUUAAAGUCUGUUCGACUUUUAAAUUCUUACAUGAUCUGAGUUC
rnacentral:rRNA from 1 species